AGGCGGGUUACCCCGUUUUGGCAGACACUUAAAUUUAUUUGAUUUUUUUCAUUAAAUUUGGUAGCAUUUAUUGGUUAGAGAUUUGUUUAUUUAAUAUUAUGAUUGGUCAAAUUGAGUCAUUAAAUGGCUUAUCUUGCGAGUAUAUAUUAAUCCUGAAAGUACCAAGCAAAAUACAUUGCCAACUCUAAUGUAUCUAAUGUACUAAUCGGUGAAGAUCCGUAUGUAGGUCGAGCAUUUGCAAAUACUCCAUUAAAUGUAACUGGUUUUUUAUCUUUAACGAUGAUGGCUGUGGAGUGUUGCAACUUUUAUACAUAACGUCAAUUUUUCACAAAUAACAAACAAAUAAAAUUCACCCGGGGAGAAUUUGGAGAAACCACCACCACUGAUUCUUCUAAAACUUUA
rnacentral:sRNA from 1 species